rnacentral:rRNA from 1 species
AUUGAACGCUGGCGGCAGGCCUAACACAUGCAAGUCGAGCGGCAGCGGGAAAGUAGCUUGCUACUUUUGCCGGCGACCGGCAAACGGGUGCGGAACACGUACACAACCUUCCUUUAAGCGGGGCAUAGCCCAGGGAAACUUGGAUUAAUACCCCAUAGUAUAUUGGAGAAGCAUUUUUCUGAUAUUAAAGAUUUAUCACUUGAAGAUGGGUGUGCGGCUGAUUAGGUAGUUGGCGGGGUAGCGGCCCACCAAGCCUACGAUCAGUAGCUGAUGUGAGAGCAUGAUCAGUCACACGGGCACUGAGACACGGGCCCGACUCCUACGGGAGGCAGCAGUAAGGAAUAUUGGACAAUGGGCGGAAGCCUGAUCCAGCCAUGCCGCGUGGAGGAUUAAGGUCCUCUGGAUUGUAAACUUCUUUUAUAUGGGACGAAAAAAGGGAAUUCUUUCUCACUUGACGGUACCAUAUGAAUAAGCACCGGCUAACUCCGUGCCAGCAGCCGCCGUAAGAC